UGCUUAACACAUGCAAGUCGAACGCUGAAGCUUGGUGCUUGCACUGGGUGGAUGAGUGGCGAACGGGUGAGUAUCACGUGAGUAACCUGCCCCUGACUUCGGGAUAAGCCUGGGAAACUGGGUCUAAUACCGGAUAUGACCAUCUUUCGCAUGUUGGGUGGUGGAAAGUUUUUUCGGUUGGGGAUGGGCUCGCGGCCUAUCAGUUUGUUGGUGGGGUAAUGGCCUACCAAGACGACGACGGGUAGCCGGCCUGAGAGGGCGACCGGCCACACUGGGACUGAGACACGGCCCAGACUCCUACGGGAGGCAGCAGUGGGGAAUAUUGCACAAUGGGGGAAACCCUGAUGCAGCGACGCCGCGUGGGGGAUGACGGCCUUCGGGUUGUAAACCUCUUUCAGUAGGGAAGAAGCCUUUGGGUGACGGUACCUGCAGAAGAAGUACCGGCUAACUACGUGCCAGCAGCCGCGGUAAUACGUAGGGUACAAGCGUUGUCCGGAAUUAUUGGGCGUAAAGAGCUCGUAGGUGGUUUGUCGCGUCUGCUGUGGAAUCGUGCCCGCUUAACGGUGCCGCGUGCAGUGGU
rnacentral:rRNA from 1 species